UCCCUGGUGGCUCAGUGGUAAAGAAUCUGCCUGCCAAUGCAGGAGACACAGGUUCAACCCCUGUGUUGGGAA
rnacentral:tRNA from 1 species